rnacentral:rRNA from 1 species
UACGUAGGGCGCAAGCGUUAUCCGGAAUUAUUGGGCGUAAAGAGCUCGUAGGCGGUUUGUCGCGUCUGCCGUGAAAGUCCGGGGCUCAACUCCGGAUCUGCGGUGGUACGGGCAGACUAGAGUGAUGUAGGGGAGACUGGAAUUCCUGGUGUAGCGGUGAAAUGCGCAGAUAUCAGGAGGAACACCGAUGGCGAAGGCAGGUCUCUGGGCAUUAACUGACGCUGAGGAGCGAAAGCAUGGGGAGCGAACAGG